GGCAGCAGUGGGGAAUUUUGGACAAUGGGCGCAAGCCUGAUCCAGCAAUGCCGCGUGCAGGAAGAAGGCCUUCGGGUUGUAAACUGCUUUUGUCAGGGAAGAAAUCUUCUGGGCUAAUACCCCGGGAGGAUGACGGUACCUGAAGAAUAAGCACCGGCUAACUACGUGCCAGCAGCCGCGGUAAUACGUAGGGUGCGAGCGUUAAUCGGAAUUACUGGGCGUAAAGCGUGCGCAGGCGGUUAUGUAAGACAGAUGUGAAAUCCCCGGGCUCAACCUGGGAACUGCAUUUGUGACUGCAUGACUGGAGUGCGGCAGAGGGGGAUGGAAUUCCGCGUGUAGCAGUGAAAUGCGUAGAUAUGCGGAGGAACACCGAUGGCGAAGGCAAUCCCCUGGGCCUGCACUGACGCUCAUGCACGAAAGCGUGGGGAGCAAACAGGAUUAGAUACCCUGGUAGUCCACGCCCUAAACGAUGUCAACUGGUUGUUGGACGGCUUGCUGUUCAGUAACGAAGCUAACGCGUGAAGUUGACCGCCUGGGGAGUACGGCCGCAAGGUUGAAACUCAAAG
rnacentral:rRNA from 1 species